AGGAGGAACAGCCCCAGUGGCGGGCCAGGUCUGGAAACCUGGGUUCAGCUCCGGCAGGAACUCCGUCUGCAGGGCCUGGAGGCUCCGGGGCGGG
rfam:Canis lupus familiaris chromosome 35, whole genome shotgun sequence.